AAAAUGGGGAAGAGUUCUUUUGGAAAAGUGACAAUCCAGAUUGAUCGGGUCGUAAUGCUAGGAGCAGUUGCUGGGGAGUAUACUUUGUUGCCAGAAAGCAAAAGUGGGCCCUUAAGGAAUUUGGAAAUAGAAUUCCAGUGGUCCAACAAACCCACUAACAAUGAUGCAGCCACAAAUUGAAUUUUAGGGAGAAAACAAUGUCCCAGUAUAGAUUCUUUUUUUUUUUUAAUU
rnacentral:misc_RNA from 1 species